GAAUUUUUUUCAAGUACUGUUCCUGUAGUUGUUGAUCUCUUUUUUCUUUUCUGUUCUAGUGCUUCUAGUUUAACGGUAAUGGUUGGUGAUAGUUCAACUGCAAAACUGUCGUUUUCUGAGCUGGGUGAAGCUAGGGUUUUUGUGAUUGUGAGUGGCUUUUGAUUUUGUUUUGGUGGGAGAUUUUGGUUUGGCUUUGCUGGUUUUAUGUGAAAUUGGGGUGUGUUUGCUGGGUUUUGAUAACGUUUAUCUGGAUUCAACACUUGGUUGACUUUCAUUUCUAUGUUUUUCUCUUGAAGAUUAUGGCGGUUUCUGAUAUGGGUUUCGAAUUUUGUGACUUUUAGUGAAGUAGGGACUU
rnacentral:misc_RNA from 1 species